rnacentral:rRNA from 1 species
AACGAACGCUGGCGGCAUGCCUAACACAUGCAAGUCGAACGAGACCUUCGGGUCUAGUGGCGCACGGGUGCGUAACGCGUGGGAAUCUGCCCUUCGGUUGGGAAUAACUGAGAGAAAUUUCAGCUAAUACCUUAUAAUGUCUUCGGACCAAAGAUUUAUCGCCGAGGGAUGAGCCCGCGUAGGAUUAGGUAGUUGGUGGGGUAAUGGCCUACCAAGCCGACGAUCCUUAGCUGGUCUGAGAGGAUGAUCAGCCACACUGGGACUGAGACACGGCCCAGACUCCUACGGGAGGCAGCAGUGGGGAAUAUUGGACAAUGGGCGAAAGACUGAUCCAGCAAUGCCGCGUGAGUGAUGAAGGCCUUAGGGUUGUAAAGCUCUUUUACCCGGGAUGAUAAUGACAGUACCGGGAGAAUAAGCUCCGGCUAACUCCGUG